CCUACGGGUGGCAGCAGUGGGGAAUAUUGCACAAUGGGGGAAACCCUGAUGCAGCGACGCCGCGUGAGUGAUGAAGGCCGUCGGGAUGGAAAGCUCUAGCAGCAGGGACGAAAAUGACGGUACCUGAGGAGGAAGCCACGGCUAACUACGUGCCAGCAGCCGCGGUAAUACGUAGGUGGCUAGAGUUGUCCGGAUUGACGGGGCGUAAAGGGAGCGUAGGCGGCCGGGGAAGUGUGAUGUGAAAUCCUCGGGCUCAACGGCGGUGCUGCAUGUCAAACGGGCAGUCUAGAGUGCAGGAGCGGUGACUGGCCUUCCUCGUGUCGCGGUUCAAUGCGUAGAUAUUAGGAA
rnacentral:rRNA from 1 species